CCGUCAUGCGCCGCGGUGGUGGCAGUGGCGGUCCCGACUGAGGCGGCGGUAUGGAGGGUGAGAGCACGUUGGGGGUGCUGUCUGGCUUCGUGCUCGGCGCGCUCACCUUCCAGCAUCUCAACACCGACUCCGACACGGAAGGUUUUCUUCUCGGGGAAAUGAAAGGUGAAGCCAAGAACAGCAUUACUGAUUCACAAAUGGAUAAUGUUAAAGUCGUUUAUACAAUUGACAUUCAGAAAUAUAUUCCAUGCUACCGGCUUUUUAGCUUUUAUAAUUCUUCAGGUGAAGUAAACGAACACGCACUGAAGAAAAUUCUUUCAAAUGUCAAAAAGACUGUGGUGGGCUGGUACAGAUCCCGUCGUCACUCGGAUCAGAUGAUGACGUUUAGGGAGCAGUUGCUGCACAGGAACUUAGAGACGCAUCUUUCAAGCCCAGAGCUUGUUUUUCUGCUGUUAACACCAAGUAUUGCAACAGAAAGCUGUUCCACUCACUGCCUGGAGCACGCCUUAUAUAAACCUCAGACGGGGGUUUUUCAUAGAGUACCUUUGGUGGUUGCCAAUCUGGGAAUGUCUGAUCAACUGGGUUAUAUAACAGAAUCUGCUUCCUGUACGUCCACUGGCUUUAGCAGAGCGGUGAGAACACACAGUUCUCAGUUUUUUAAUGAAGAUGGAUCGUUAAAGGAGGUGCAUAAGAUAAAUGAAAUGUACGCUGCUAUACAAGAAGAAUUGAAGAGUAUAUGCCAAAAAGUUGAACAAAGUGAACGAGAAGUGGAGAAACUAAUGAUGGAUGUAAACCGACUAAAAGAAGUUAGAAAAGAACAGCAAGCGCAGAUUAAAGCAGCGGGAGAGAAGAAUGUCCAAAACAACCCCCAGGAGAACAUUCUUCUUUGUCAAGCUUUACGAACCUUUUUCCCAGAAUCUGAAGUUCUUCAUUCUUGUGUUAUUUCUUUGAAAAAUAGACGUAUUUCUCAAAGUGGAUGUAACACGAACCACCAUCUUGAUGUGGCUAAGCUGACCUUAAUGGUGGAGUAUGUUCACAGCCCUGACACUAGUCCAGCCCCUGCAGCCCAGCUGACUAAGCGUAAAGCUCUAGACACGCAGGACCCAUGGCCUGUGAAGAAACCUCGACUGCUGGAGACAGAAAGCAGACCUGGGACAGACUCCCGAAGCAGUCACCCAAACAGAACGUCCUCAAGCAGCCUGGAUGUGGACACAGAGAUGGGGAGCACGGAGGAGGAUGGGGACUAUCCUCGCUCUCCCACGUUUUGAUUCUUGUUAGAUGAUAGUUUUGACUUGAUGAGGUUCAGACCACUGUUUUCUUCUAUUUUUACUGUCUGCCUACUGGAGUAAUACAUAAAGGCCAUGUUUUACUGUAUUCAGCUGUCCAUAAUGUGUGAAUAAGGUAUUUUUUACUGCUCAACCGUUUAUAAUAUGUAGAACACUCUUCACAUUGGAAAAGAGAAACUAGCCUUGUUUCACAACAGAAAAGAAGCACAAAAGUUUAUGAAAUUGGGCCUGGGAGUUGGCUCAGCUGGCACAGGCAUCUGCAGACAAGACUGGCAACCUGAGUGGAUUCCUGGGACUCCUGCCAUGGAAGGAAAGAACGUCUUCCACAAGUGCCUCUGAUACUCACUGUGCCAUAGACAUAAACCCCCAUAAAUAAAUGUAAUAAAUCUAAA